rnacentral:rRNA from 1 species
GAAUUGAUUACUUCGGUUUGAUUUUCCUGACAAUGAGCGGCGAACGGGUGCGUUACACGUGAGAAACCUGCCCUUAAGUUCAGGAUAGCCCUACGAAAGUAGGAUUAAUACCGAAUGUGGCCAAGGAAGGGCAUCUUCCCUUGGCUAAAGCUCGGUUAUAGAGCGCUUUUGGAUGGUCUCGCGGUCUAUCAGCUUGUUGGUGAGGUAACGGCUCACCAAGGCUCUGACGGAUAGCUGGUCUGAGAGGAUGAUCAGUCACACUGGAACUGAGACACGGUCCACACCCCUACGGGGGGCAGCAGUCGAGAAUCAUUCACAAUGGGCGCAAGCCUGAUGGUGCGACGCCGCGUGGGGGAUGAAGGGCUUCGGUUCGUAAACCCCUGUCAUCUGUGAGUAAGGUUCCCAAUAAAAGCUUGGGAGAUUGAUAUUAGCAGAAGAGGAAGGGACGGCUAACUCAGUGCCAGCAGCCGCGGUAAUACUGGGGUCCCAAGCGUUGUUCGGAUUUACUGGGCGUAAAGGGUGCGU